UUAAAAUAAGAAUUUAAUUUUGGUUCUGAUUGAACGUUUUUCAGUAGUUUUAAGACAUGCGAAUCAUUAUUAACCUAAUAAUUAUUAAGGCUAUAUAAGUCUAAGAAAAACUUAAACUAAAAAUAGUCCGUUAAUUAAUAAAGGCUAAGUUAAUAAGGUGUAAAGGUGAGGAUAGUAGAUAAGAUACCCUAGAGUCUCCGUAAAUAGGAGAUAAUUUUUAUUUAAAAAAUAAGAAAAUAAGUAAGCUAUAUUUAUUAAAAAAGGAAUAAUUCUGCUUUAGGAUUCUAUUUAUUUUGAUUAGGUAGUUGGAAGGGUAAAGGCCUCCCAAGCCUACGAUCGAUAGUCAAGCUUGACAGAGCAAAUGGCCACAUCGGGAAUGAAAUCUCCCAAGUAGUAUUCACUACCAGCAGUCGAGAAUAUUAGUCAAUGCUCGCAAGAGUGAACUAGCUAACUGAAAUCAUACUUGUGUCAAGUGUGAUAACGUAAGGGAAGAUAAUGACAUUACCUUACUAUUAGUGUUGUCCAAAUCUGGUGCCAGAAGACUCGGUAAGGCCAGAGACGCAAACGUUAGUCGUCUUAAUCAGGCGUAAAGGGUGUGUAGGCAGCUUUUAACUUUAUUCUUUUUCUAAAUCCUCAUUAACCGAGGAAGAAAUAUAGACUAAUAUUAUUAUUAAAUAAAUAAUAAAAAUAUUAAAGAAGGGAAUGAACUAAUAAAAGCUAGAAUCAAAUAGAGGAUAUAUUAAAUAAUAUUUAGAGUAGGGGCGAUAUCCUUAAAUACUAAAUGGAAUAUUAAAGGCGAAAGCUUUUUAUCUACUAAUGAUUGACGCUGAAACACGAAGGUGAGUAUAGGAAAUAGGAUUAGAUACCCAGAUACCACUCACUGUCAACGAUGAAUGGUGGUUACUAGUAAAAAAAUAAAUUAGUAGCUAUGUUAACGCGAUAACCAUUCCGCCAUGUGAGUACAACUGCAAAGUUGAAAACAAAAAAAUUAGUCGGUCUCGAAGCAAACGAAGUGAAGCAUGUUAUUUAAUACGAUAAUCCGCGUAAAACCUUACCAGUUCUUGUAUAACAAAGUUUAAUUUAUUUCAAUAAAUUGCUUAUGUUACAGGUGUUGCAUGGCUGUCGUCAGUCCGUAUUGUGAGAAGUGAGGUUAACUCCGCUAACGGACGAAAUCCCUGUUGUUAAUUUAUACUUAAUAAUUAAUGGUACUGAUAGGGUAUCAUUUGGGGCUAAGACAAGUCGUUAUGGCCCUAAUGAACUGGGCUAUAGACGUGCCACAAAAACUUUUACAAAGUGAAGCGAAACUGUUCCUUUAAAUUUAAUAUGGCUAUAUGCGAAAGUAUAUAAGUAUGUUAUUAUAUUAUUUUUAUUAAAAUAGGGAAAUAAGGUAGAGCUAAUCAUUAAAGAAAGUUAAAUUUUAGUCGGAUUGUCGUCUGCAAUUCGACGACAUGAAGAAGGAAUUUCGAGUAAUCGUUGAUUAGUAAGCGCAACGGUGAAGAUUGCAUUCGUGAUGAACUAACUGUCUGUCGCUGGGAAGAAGCUUAACUUGGAGUAAACUGGAGCGAAAUUAAAACUUUUAUAAAAGUCUUUUAAAGUUCUUUAUAUCUAUCCUUGUAUCAAUGCAAGGUUAAGAACACUUUUGUUAAGAUAAUUAGUUUAGUUAAUUCAUUUAAGUAACAUCUUAAAAGUCAUAGCAAGGUAGCCGUACUGGAAAGUGCUGCUGUAAAUUAAAAUA
rnacentral:rRNA from 1 species